GAUCAUGGCUCAGGAUGAACGCUGGCGGCGUGCUUAACACAUGCAAGUCGAACGGGGAAAUACUUUAUUGAAACUUUGGUGGAUUUAAUUUAUUUCUAGUGGCGGACGGGUGAGUAACGCGUGGGUAACCUGCCUUAUACUGGGGGAUAACAGCCAGAAAUGACUGCUAAUACCGCAUAAGCGCACAGAACCGCAUGGUUCGGUGUGAAAAACUCCGGUGGUAUAAGAUGGACCCGCGUUGGAUUAGCUGGUUGG
rnacentral:rRNA from 1 species